CUUAUUAGGGCCUGACGGAGAGUUCCUGGCUGUCCAGAGUGAAGACAGGAAGGGGCUGAGGUGAAAUGAGGUCACUGUAGUAACAGCCCCUUUGUGUGAGGCUUUGUGGACCGUCAUAAGGACUUUGGCUUUGACUAAGAAGAGGAAAUGAGUCCAGUGGAAGGAAAAUGCCACAGUCUAGUAGACGGGAGUCAGUGGCUUGAGAAAUGAAAUGAGGUGGAACUCCGGGACCUGGACUGCUCGCCAGCGCUGCCUGUGAGUUACACACCUGCAUUCGGACCCCUCCAAGGCGUUGGCUAUGGCUUCUCAGGUGGCUACAGGUCCUCAUUCCAGCCUUCUGGUUUAGCUCAGCAGACUUCCUCUAAAGAAAUGGCAAAGAGCAUAAAAAUUAAACCUUUGAGGCAUUCCAUGAUGCAAACAGUAAUUUCAUAGGUAAGGUAUCUUUAACAGAUGGUUACCCAGUUUCUGGAUAUAUUGCUACCGCUCUCUCCUCAUUCC
rnacentral:lncRNA from 1 species